CCGCCAUUUCUCGACUCCUCAUCUAAUAGUUUGCUCAAGAAUUUUCAUCGAGUUUCUGGUAAGUACUUUAAGUGUAACAAACAUACAAAAGAAAACGAUACAUAAAAUUUUUACAUUGGGGAUUAAUAAUCAAGAGACUGACAAGCACUGUUGAAUUUCUGGAAUAAAAAACGAGGGCGGGAACAUUUUGAAACGUUAGCUAAAUACUAACGGUACACGUAGUUGAUCGAACCGUUUCGGUAGGGCAAAUUCUGUUUGGAUCACUUUUGUAACGCUUCGUUUUGGAGGUUAUUUUGUUUAUCCCCUCGUCCCCCAAUGCAUAAACUUUGUGCCGAGGCGGAACUAAUGUUAAGUCCGAGUUCCCGCCGAGACGCUCAUGUCUGCGCUCGCGCCAGUUUAGGAAGGGGAGGAGGCCAGAGCGUAGCAGUGCAUGUGUGUAGCUCUUUCAUCUUGUGCUGCUGAGUUCACCGUAAGUUUUAAGAGUUUUGCCUUUUACGCGUCAUUACCGCGUUAACGCAAAUGUUUUUAACGGCAGAAAUUAUUUGUAACGCUGGUUAAUUGUGCGUUAGAACUGAGUGUUUGUUGACCCCGUAUUGAAGGAAGAAAACCGGGAACACGUCAGUUUCUGUGCGCGCGGGUUAACUCCUCCUCUGCUCAGCGUCAACCCGAACCCAAAAUGGAGGUGGGCGGAUCCUGCCUCACUUCAAAGAACUCUGCACACCUGCUCCCACCGUUCUCCCUCACCCUCCUCAAACAAGCCUGGUUAGUUCUCUCAUGAGUGUUCUGCAAUUGUAUCUAAAGGUAAUUGCCGAGUUCACCCCCAUUACCACUGGUGUCCACCUUCAUGUUCCAGCUAGAUCAUUAUUCAGAUCUGUUGGUAAAGACCUUCCAGAAGAAGGGGGGAACAUCAGGACUAAAGAUAACAAGAAUCCUGGCAGCCAUGGGAAAGUUUGAACACAUCUGUUGAAAAAUGAAGAGAAUGCAUCCUGAAAGCGGUUUGUCUUUACCUCAAUGAAAGUCCUGAUGACCUGAUAAAGGAGUCCCUGGAUGCUGAUCUUGAAGUGGAGCAGGCAAUGAAUGAGCAACUCGACAUGGUGAUCCACUUCAUUCAACAUGAAGGAGCUAAGCCCACAGAUGACCCCGCGGAGGUGAACAUUUUCAUAGAGGGGGUGGAAGUGCUGCAAGGUGUAAAGGACGUGGCGUAUGGUUGCGCUCUCCUCCUGGGGCUCAUCUACUGCCUUAAUUUGGAGUUCCCCAGUAAGCUGAAAUACACGUUUGAAUUCAUUCAGAAAGUAUUGAUGGACAUGGAUGGACAAAAACUGUCACCCAAGUUACAGGUCCUCAAAGGUAAACUAUAUGAGUAAAGGAAAGUUCACAAAGUUCCUAAAGCAUAAUGCUUUGGAUUUCUCACAGUUGGAGUUCAGUUAACGUGUUACUGUUUCUGAUUGUUAAUUGUUUUAACACCUCACCAAUGCACUUUGGUAUUUUGUAUUAUUUUGUUGUUUACAUGUGUCUACACAUAAAGGGAAAUAACGGGAAAAGGCAACAAAGACGGACACGCACUUAAGACGACACAAACUCAAAAAGGCACUUUGUUAGGUCCGUUUGAGAGUUGACUUGUGUUUGCCCUUAAAUUUGUUAUAAAUAAAAAAUGUGAAUGUCAAAUG